GCCGUAGCUCAGUGGAAGAGCAUCUGCCUUGCAUGCAAAACAAUCCAGGUUCAAUCCCCAGCAGCUCCA